CAAUUCAGAGCUUGAUUAGAUAAGCGUUUCACUUACACUGAGAAGAUGUCGUGCGAAUCGGCUUGUUUUGA
rnacentral:tRNA from 1 species